AGAGUUUGAUCCUGGCUCAGAACGAACGUUGGCGGCGUGGAUUAGGCAUGCAAGUUGAACGAAUCCCCAGGGGCUUGCUCUUGGGGGGAAGUGGCGAAAGGGGCAGUAAGGCGUGGGUAACCUACCCCGGGGACGGGAAUAGCCAUUCUAACGAGUGGGUAAUGCCCGGCGAUGUAGCGAGGGGACAUCUCCUUGCUACGAAAUGAAUUUCGCCUCGGGAGGGGCUCACGUGGUAUUAGCUAGUUGGUAGGGUAACGGCCUACCAAGGCAAAGAUGCCUAGCGGGUGUGAGAGCACGACCCGCGCCACUGGCACUGUGACACUGGCCAGACACCUACGGGUGGCUGCAGUCGAGGAUCUUCGGCAAUGGGCGCAAGCCUGACCGAGCGACGCCGCGUGCGCGAUGAAGGCCUUCGGGUUGUAAAGCGCUGUCGAGGGGGAGGAAGCCGCAAGGUUGACCUAUCCCUGGAGGAAGCACGGGCUAAGUUCGUGCCAGCAGCCGCGGUAAGACGAACCGUGCGAACGUUGUUCGGAAUCACUGGGCUUAAAGGGCGCGUAGGCGGAUCAUCAAGUCCGGGGUGAAAUCUUUCGGCUUAACCGGAAAAGUGCCUUGGAUACUGGUGGUCUCGAGUGAGGUAGGGGCAUGUGGAACUUCUGGUGGAGCGGUGAAAUGCGUUGAUAUCAGAAGGAACUCCGGUGGCGAAAGCGACGUGCUGGACCUCUUCUGACGCUGAGGCGCGAAAGCUAGGGGAGCGAACGGGAUUAGAUACCCCCGUAGUCC
rnacentral:rRNA from 1 species